UAUAAACUGAGAGAGAAGACUGCCCAAGUUCUGGCCUAUAGACAGAAGACUUCUAACACACAGUUUUUAAAGUAUCUAGUGUAUAUAAGGACAAGCCAUUCUCAGUCAAGCAUGAAACUGAAUCUGAGGAAAAGAAGAAAGCUGAAAACACACUGAGGAUUAUGGGAGAGGGGCAAGUGCAUGAAGCUUCUCAAUGACAUACAGACACUCUAAAAGCUCAAGAGAUCAAUUAUUCAACUUCAAGAACUGAAAUUUGAACACAGAUUUUGAGCUUCCAAAUCAGGAGAAAAAGAAGUGUUCUAUAAGAAGUUUGGACAAGACUCUGCAAGAAGUUAAGAGGUCCUUAAAGGCAACUGUGAAUUAACGGAGACUAGUUUUGAGAAAAUCAGUCCUGAUUUGUUUCUCCUGGAGUUUUCUUCUUUAUGUGAUCCUUCAUAAAAGCUGCUAAUAUGGGAAAGAUUGAAAUCAGCAAGUUUCUGGCUGUAAGCUAAAAGAGGCUCUUGAAUCAUAUUUCCGCCUGCUUAGCAAAUUUCUCUUGCGACAAUUGGAUGUUAUUUGGGGUUCCAUACUAGCAGGAAGAAGUACAAGCAAAGCUAAGUCAUUUUGAGAAUAAAUAUUAUCUCUCUAUAUAUUUGUAAAUGUUAUUUUCUUUUUUUUUGAGGUUUAUGAUUGAUCCUUGGCAUGUGUCCCCUUGUGUAUUGCUCUACUAAAAAUAGCCUAAAAAAGAAUUUUCCCCUCGAUGUGGAGCUUCUCUUUAGUUACAAUUCUACUUUCUCCUUCACUUGAGUAUCAGUCUUCAGAGAACUACCAUAACAAAGGAGUGGAUACAGAUAUACGCAAAAAAGUCUAUGAGAAAAUUAGUACAUUAAAUUUGUGAAAGCUCAUUUAAAGUAAUUUUCUACUAACAAUUUUAAUCAAAUGUAUUAAUCAUAUUUCUAUGCUUAGUGAUGUUAAAUAAAAAUUUAAAAGGUGGCAAUCAAUAAACAGAGAUAAAAGCUUCUCAAGAAUAAAUGAAAGGAAGUAAUAAAAAGACUCACUAAGCUGAAUUGCCUCCUAUCAACAGCAGCUGAUAAAAUAUUAAAAGAUUUGCCUUGUGUAAUGUCUCUGGAGAGCUGUCUUACUGAUGUACGAGGCCAUGAUUGACAACUUUGAGACUUUGCUGGAAGCGACAAAAGUAUAUCUAUAAUAUUAUGCUGAAUUGCAUAGGUCUUUCUUCUUAAAUGAGGCUAGAAAUAACAUACCACCAAGUGUUUGGCUUUUAGGAAAUUGAGCAUUUUCUUUAGUUCUAGCUGCAGUUUAAUUUCCUCAGAAUUAGACAUUAUGCGGUAUCUGGAACGUUAAAAAAAAAAAAAAGCAAAAACAGAGUAUUGUACCUAAUGAUAUGUCAAAUAAUUUUGGAGGAAUUAAGAAAUCACUGGAAGAAAUUACAUGGGUGGGUAAUGGUUUUUAUGUCACAAUAAAUAAUUAGUAAUAUUUACUGACACAUUUCAUGUGCCUGGUACUGAGCUAAAUGAUUUAUGUGCAUUGUUUGUAUUAAGCCCCCAAAAUUCUGUGGUAUAUGUAAUGAUAUUUCCAUUUUUCUUGAGAUAAGGAACUGAAACUCAGAAAAGUUAAGGAACUUGUCCAAGAUUAUAGUAAGUGGCUUAGUUCAAUUUUGAAUCUAGAUCAAUCUGACUCCAACCAGCAUGAUGAACUGAAACUGACUAUGAGGCUGGUGACACUCUAGGCAUUUAUUCACAAGAGGUAUUGUGAUGACAUGUGAGAGAAUGUUGGAUGAAGGAAGCACAUACUAGAAAGAUAGGAAAGACCAGAAAACACAGGGAAGUGCUAUUUAUUUGCUUUCCUAGUUCCAGUAACUUGGUCUAAUGGGGAGGAUGAAAGUAGACAGAUACCUGAAAACACUUUGAGAUUUAUGUAUAAGCAGCAUGACUUCAGUGACCAAGCCACACAGAAUCUGGGAGUGGAACAUUUUCUUUGGUCAUUAUGCCACUGCGGCAUGGUUUGUUAGUGCAGUGAGAACUAAAGUAUAGUGUGGUAACCUGAAACUGUUAUGGUUAUGGGUACACCUGGGUGGGUAGCUGUUCACCCCUUCACAGAGGGUAGGAGUGGUGAUAGCAAAGUAGCUCUUCGCAGUAACUUUCAGAACAUAGACAUUAUGUAAGAUCUGAAGUUUGAAAACCUGAAACAAAAGCAGAGCAUUAUAUCCAAGCACAUUGGAGACAACUGUGGAGGAAUCAAGGAACAUCUAGCAGAGAUUUAAUGUUUUAGGGACUGUUUUUUAUUUCAGAAGGUAAUAAGUGUAAAACAGUCAAACUCUAGGCAUAGGGAUGAACAUUAUUUUGUGUCAUAAAUUUGUCUAAUAUAGUUGCUGCUUCAGCAUCCAGUUUUGGCUUGUCAUGGUCAAGGUGACCAGUCAUGCCCUGUCACCUUUGGUUUUAUUAAAAUUUUCCCUCCUUUAGUGGUUAUUUGUGAUAUAGCCCUGUUGUUCCCCAUCUCACUGACCCCAAAUUCAACACAUGCCACAGCUGCUGGCCACAGUGAAAACUAAUGAUCAACACCAGUCAUGUGAAUAAGACGUCCCUUCAUGUGUUUUCUUUAAGCUAGCCUAUCCACAGCCCCAUGGGAAAGCCUAAAGAAUAGUACCUGUGGAUUAUAAUAAAGACGUCUUACUGGUUCUUGCUCUCUAUCCCUCUCUCUACACACUGGUCAAGUACACUCUUGUCUCCAGACUUCCCAUUGGCCUCCUGUCAACACCUGUACCCACUCUGGACCUGGGAAUAAUAAACUUCUUUUUUUUUUUAAUGUAUUUUGGUUUCACUUCCUCAUUGUAUCUCACCUGACACACACAUACUAUAGUGUUCUCAAUAUUAUUUAAUGUGUUUAACAAAUCAUAACAGAUAAUAUAUGAUUGACACUGUGCCUCCUGAUUUGAUGCAAUAUGGACUAUUCCACAUCACUGAUGAAGUAGUCAUACAAAAAAUAUUUAUCUUGAAUCAAAGCAAGAUUUUAUACCAAAAUUCUAGUUCAAGUUACCUGAUAGAGGAACAUAUUAAACAAUACUAUGUGUAAACAAUACUAUGUGUAAACAAUCAGAAAAAUAAUAGAUUGUAGCCUUCAAAAAACGAUGGCCUUACAAAACAAAUAAACAAAAAGUUUGUGUGGGUGUGUACAUGCAAGGGCUAAUCUCAAAUGCAGAAAGACCAGAAUACAAUAACAAAUAUAAUUCUUGAAAGUGGAUUUCAUCUUGGUUUACCAAAAAUAGCUAUGAGGGAAAUUUGGGUAAGAAUUAGAGAAUUCUGAAUAUAGAAUGAAUUAAAACAUAUUAUGAAUUAAGUUAAUAUUUUUGAUGUUUUCUUUUGAUAUGUUCUUUUAGAAUAUGUAAUAUCCCUAUUUAUUGGAGAUGUGUGCUAAAUUAUUUACAAAUAUUUGGGUAUCUGAAAUUUACUUUCAAAUGCACCAAAAAUAAUAGCUAUACAAAAAGAAAUACAUUAAAUUUACUCUAUAGUAGUAGUUAUUCUUUCUGAGAGGUUUACACAGUAUUUUCCUGUUCUUUUGUAUGUAUGUAUUUUUAAAAGAACGUAGGCCUGGCGCAGUGGCUCACGCCUAUAAUCCCAGCACUUUGGGAGGCCGAGGUGGGCGGAUCACGUGGUCAGGAGAUCGAGACCAUCCUGGCUAACACGGUAAAACCCCGUCUCUACUAAAAACACAAAAACAAAAUUAGCCAGGCGUGGUGGCGGGCGCCUGUAGUCCCAGCUAAUCAGGAGGCUGAGGCAGGAGAAUGGCGUGAACCCGGGAGGCGAAGCUUGCAGUGAGCCGAGAUCAUGCCACUGCACUCCAGCCUGGGCGACAGAGCGAGACUCCGUCUCAAAAAAAACAAAAACGAAAACAAAAACAACAUAAAUAAAUUGAUAAUAUAUCUAUUUUGAUACAGUCAUGGUUAACAUAAAUAAUCCUGGUUAUAUCCAUAUAAAACCAUGAAUAUACAGUAAUAAAUAUUAUAAUUACAAGUAAAUCACCAUAAAUAAAUUCUGUUUUCAAUGUUUCUACU
rnacentral:lncRNA from 1 species